rnacentral:rRNA from 1 species
ACGGGGCGCAGCAGGCGCGCAAACUUUACAAUGCGAGCAAUCGUGAUAAGGAAACCCUGAGUGCCUGUCGAUGCAGGCNGUGCAUAUAUCUAAAUCAUAUGUGAAGAAAGGGCAGGGCAAGACCGGUGCCAGCCGCCGCGGUAAUACCGGCUGCUCGAGUGAUAACCACUAUUACUGGGUUGAAAGCGUCCGUAGCUUGACUGUUAGGUCUCUUGGGAAAUCUUCACGCUCAACGUGAAGGCGUCUAAGAGNUACCGGCGAUCUUGGAACUGGGAGAGGUAAACCGUACUUCGGGGGUAGGAGUGAAAUCUUGUAAUCCUCGAGGGACGACCUAUGGCGAAGGCAGUUUACCAGAACAGCUUCGACAGUGAGGGACGAAAGCUGGGGGAGCAAACGGGAUUAGAUACCCCGGUAGUCCCAGCCGUAAACAAUGUGCGUUAGGUCUGUCGGUAACCACGUGUUACUGAUGAGCCGAAGAGAAAUCGUGAAACGCACCACCUGGNAAGUACGGUCGCAAGGCUGAAACUUAAAGGAAUUGGCGGGGGAGCACCACAACAGGUGGAGCCUGCGGUUUAAUUGGAUUCAACGCAGCACAUCUCACCGGAUAAGACAGCUGAUUGAUUGUCAAUCUGAAGGUUUUAUUUGACUAGCUGAGAGGAGGUGCAUGGCCGUCGUCAGUUCGUACUGUGAAGCAUCCUGUUAAGUCAGGCAACGAGCGAGACCCACGCCGACAAUUGCCAGCAGCAUCUUCGGAUGGCCGGGGACAUUGUCGGGACCGCCUCUGCUAAAGAGGAGGAAGGAAUGGGCAACGGUAGGUCAGCAUGCCCCGAAUUAUCCGGGCUACACGCGGGCUACAAUGGGCGGGACAAUGGGUAACGACACCGAAAGGUGGAGUCAAUCUCCGAACCCCGCCCUUAGUUAGGAUUGCGGGUUGCAACUCACCCGCAUGAAUCUGGAAUCUGUAGUAAUCGCGUUUCACUAUAGCGCGGUGAAUACGUCCCUGCUCCUUGCACACACCG